AUUGAACGCUGGCGGCAUGCCUUACACAUGCAAGUCGAACGGCAGCAUGGGGUGCUUGCACCUGAUGGCGAGUGGCGAACGGGUGAGUAAUGCAUCGGAACGUACCCGGAAGUGGGGGAUAACGUAGCGAAAGUUACGCUAAUACCGCAUAUUCUGUGAGCAGGAAAGCGGGGGAUCGCAAGACCUCGCGCGAAUGGAGCGGCCGAUGUCAGAUUAGGUAGUUGGUGGGGUAAAGGCUCACCAAGCCGACGAUCUGUAGCUGGUCUGAGAGGACGACCAGCCACACUGGGACUGAGACACGGCCCAGACUCCUACGGGAGGCAGCAGUGGGGAAUUUUGGACAAUGGGCGCAAGCCUGAUCCAGCCAUUCCGCGUGCAGGAUGAAGGCCUUCGGGUGUAAACUGCUUUUGUACGGUAACGAACGGUUCUCUCUAAUACAGGGGCUAAGUGACGGUACCGUAAGAAUAAGCACCGGACUAACUACGUACGC
rnacentral:rRNA from 1 species